rnacentral:rRNA from 1 species
AUUGAACGCUGGCGGCAGGCCUAACACAUGCAAGUCGAGCGGAGCGGCGGACGGGUGAGUAAUGCCUAGGAAUCUGCCUGGUAGUGGGGGAUAACGUCCGGAAACGGGCGCUAAUACCGCAUACUAUCAGAUGAGCCUAGGUCGGAUUAGCUAGUUGGUGGGGUAAAGGCCUACCAAGGCGAGGUUCCGUAACUGGUCUGAGAGGAUGAUCAGUCAACUGGGAACUGAGAAACGGUCCGAACUCCAACGGGAGGCAGCAGUGGGGAAUAUUGGACAAUGGGCGAAAGCCUGAUCCAGCCAGGCCGCGGGUGGGAAGAAGGUCUUCGGAUGGUAAAGCACUUUAAGUUGGGAGGCGUUACCAACAGAAUAAGCACCGGCUAACUUCGUGCCAGCCGCCGCGGUAAUAC